GGAUGGGUGGCCGAGCGGUCUAUGGCAGCAGUCUUGAAAACUGCCGAGGGUUCACGCCCUCCGUGGGUUCGAAUCCCACCCCAUCCGCCA
rnacentral:tRNA from 1 species